rnacentral:rRNA from 1 species
UACGUAGGGGGCAAGCGUUGUCCGGAAUCAUUGGGCGUAAAGCGCGCGUAGGCGGCCCGGUAAGUCCGUUGUGAAAGUCAAAGGCUCAACCUUUGAACGCCGAUGGAUACUGCCGGGCUAGAGUCCGGAAGAGGCGAGUGGAACUCCUGGUGUAGCGGUGGAAUGCGCAGAUAUCAGGAAGAACACCAACGGCGAAGGCAGCUCGCUGGGACGGAACUGACGCUGAGGCGCGAAAGCGUGGGGAGCGAACAGG